ACGGACGCUCUCGCUCUGGCCGCCGCCUUGGCCGCCGCCUCGGCCGCCAACAUGAGGGGCAAGGAGGGCAGGCAGGUGCGGGCCGCGCCCCGCAGCAAGGACUACAUCCAGGGCGUCAUCGGCAAGGUCAAGGACGACAUCCGCACCCUGAUGUCGAACCGCGACGAGCUGUCCGUUGCCGCGUUCCGCAAGACCAAGGACGACCUGCACAGCCUGACCAAGAACAAGGCGGAGAUCAUGACGCUGGUGCGCAGCCGCGAGGACCUGAGCGCCCUCAUCGACACCAAGAACAGCCUGCACGCGCUCAUCCGCAGCCGCGACGACAUCCACGUGCUGCUGCGCAACAAGGACGACCUGCUGGCCCUCGUCAAGAGCAAGAACGACAUCUGCCACCUGCUGCACACGCAGAAGGACGUGCAGAACCUCGUCAAGAACCGGCCCGACAUGGAGGCCAUCCUGGACAUGAAGGACGACAUCAACAGCCUGCUGCGCAGCAAGGCGGACAUCCAGAGCCUGCUCAAGAGCAAGGACGAGAUCUACGGGCUCGUGAGGAGCUUCGACGACGUGAAGAUGCUGCUGGAGAGCAAGGCGGACAUCGACGUGCUGGUGAGGAACAAGGACGACCUGCAGGCGCUGGUGCGCGCGCGCAGCGAGAUCCAGACCAUGCUGCGCAACAAGGAGGAGAUCCAGAGCCUGGUCAGAAGCAAGGAGGACAUCGUGACCCUGCUGCGCAUCCGGGACGAGGUGUACUCGCUCAUCAAGAGCAAGGACGACAUCCAGUUCCUGCUGCGGUACAAGGACGAGAUCCUCAGCCUGGUCAAGUACAAGGAGGACAUCACGAACCUGUUGAAGAACAAGGAGGCCAUCCACUCGAUAGCCAAGAACAAGUUCGAGCUGCAGGCGAUGGCACGCACCAAGGCGGACCUGCUGGCCGUGUCCAGCUACAAGAGUGAUCUGCAGGACCUGGUGAGGAACCGCGAGGCCAUCCAGGGCCUCAUCCGCUGCAAGGACGAGAUCCACUCCCUGAUGCGGAGUAAGGCCGACAUCCAGAUCCUGCUGGACAGGAUGUCCGACAUCAGGGGCCUGCUGCAGAUCAAGAACGACAUCAACUACCUCAUGAAGAACAAGGACGAGCUGCAGGCCCUGGUGCGGCACAAGGACGAGCUGAUGGCCCUGAUGCACUACAAGGCGGAGAUCCAGUCGCUGGCCAAGUGGAGGGAGGACAUCCAGUUCCUCAUCAAGUGCAAGAAGGAGAUCCAGUCCCUGACCAAGCUCAAGUUCAAGAUCCAGUCGCUCGUCAAGAGCAAGGACGACAUCCUGUCGCUGGUGAGGAGCAAGAACGAGAUCCGCGGGCUGCUCAACAGCCGGCACGAGAUCCAGGCCGUGGUGAAGAGCAAGACCGAGCAGAGCGGCACCCUGAAGAAGGACGACGUGAUGGCGCUGCUCAAGAUGAAGGACGACAUCGAGGCCCUGGCCAAGACCAAGGACGACCUCAUGCUGUUCGUGCGGCACGCCAAGGACAUCGAGGUGCUGCUGCACGGCCGCGAGGAACUGUUCAGCCUGCUGAGGAACAAGGAGGACAUCGUGGGGCUGGUCAAGAUGGUGGGCGACAUUCGGUCGCUGCGCGUCGAGCUGGACCACAUGCAGGGCUACAGGGACGCCCUUUCGAGGUCCAACGCCGAGCUGGAGCGCUACAUCGGCGGCCUGGAGACGGAGCUCGACCGCCAUGAGGAGGAGCAGGCGAUGCGCUCGCAGGAGGCGGGCCGGCACCUGUGGUGGGGGCGCCUGGACAACCAGCUGGUGCUGUGCCGGCAGCUGGAGGCGCGCCGGCGCUGGCUGGAGCAGGAGGUGACCUACGCCCGCCGUAUGAACGGCCUCACCGAUCCGAAUCGGGACCCGCUCACGCUCGACCUGGAUUCGCUGUCCGAGAUGGAGCUGAUCAUCGUGGUGCGCCAGCUCGAGCGCAUGCGUGAGGACCUGCAGGCCGCGCUGCGGCACAAGAUCUGGAGCCCCGAGCGAGACAAGGACUACGACGCGUCCCGCACCGCCCUGGCCGAGAUCCGGCACUACCGCCGCACCCGGAAGCCCAUCACCGGCUCGCACCCCACACUGGACGAGCCCGCCGCCAACAACACCGGCAGCAACAACAACAACAACAACCACCACCAAGCCACGACGGGGUCCUCGCCCGGCAGCGGGCCGCCCCCGACGGGCCCCCGAUGGGAGUGAGUCCACGGCGCCAGGCCUCGGCGUUGCCUUGGCCGCCGGUGACACCUGCACCGCUGCUACCACCUCCACCGCCAUAGGUUGUAUUCCUGGCUUCGGCUGUACCUUGUCUUUACUAACGAGGCCGUACACUGUUUCGGGUGGGGGUAGAGGGUGACUUACACCUCGCGAAAAAAAAAACCACCGCGUCCGGUGAAUAUUGUUAAUUAUUUUGCUGGUCGCACGGGGUACUUUCGGAGCCAGCACACAUCUGCACAGCCCACAGCCAUAACUGUUCUUUAUGGCAAUCCGUCCCGUGUGACAAAACGUGAUUGAUGCGCGAUGCAUACAAGAAUUACGGCGGUGACAGUCAUCUUACGGUGUGCAGGCUCGGAAAGUAUUCGUUCGAGUCUGGCAGAAACUUUCACAACACUCACCGGAAUUUCCUGAUCAUGGUAGUUUAACCCUUACGAAAACUCUUGAGACUGAUUUUGUUUGUGGAGAUCGUCAUGUGUUCACGUCGAAGUUCUUCGAGCAGCUGGUAAGGCCCAUGAGUGGCAUUUGGAUGCUUCUAAGUAACGACUUACAAUGUAACCGCUGCAGUAGUAGCUGGAACUAACUAGCCACGUGGUUCGAACCGACCGCAGUCGUCUCUGCGGCAGGCACCUUCACCUAGUUACGUGUUGCGAGCAAGUUGUUUGUGGAAACGCUUGGAAAUCAUUUAAACUCCGAAUAAAAUGUUCCUUCUAAACAGGCGAGGCAUGCAGAACUAAAGCGGCAGUAACAGAGCUUACCUAGGGCGACAGGAACGUUUUUGGCCUGUUUUUUGACUAGUCGAUUUUUCACAUAAACUCGCCCACUUGACGGGAAGUGCUGUUGGGCCUCCCGGCACCAAGCGCCGCCCUGAGGGCUGCCCUUCGACCUAACAAAGCAGUAACCGACUUUCUGCCGACAGCUUCUUGCAAUGUAUUAACCUGGGGGCCCUGCUCCUAGCAUUCACUUGUUUACUGGCCACGCUAUUCCAAGGGACGCGGACGGAGCGGAAGCGAAGAAGUGCUCGACGCGAGCAGCAGCGAGGGCCCCGGGUGCUAG